GCGCUACUAGGCCAGUGUUGCUGUCUGGGUGUGGUGCUUCUUCAAAGUAUCUUUGGCUCACGUAGGGUAGUCAUGGCGUGUGCCACGUGGGUCUGCUCUCAUGAUGCGUUUUCUGGUCGUUCCCGGAUCGUCCUGUGCCUCUCAUUUCAAGUAUCGUAGUUAUCGUUGCAGUUAGAGGAUUUUAGGUUUGGGCCUCGUAGCUUUGGCAGAGGUUGUUUGGCUACCCUCCGCCUUCUCAUCUUCAGUUGGAGCAGCGUCAGGUGGUUUGAUCUCAGAGCGAGAGAAGGGCUGGUCGACGAUCGUUCUAGUGUUCCUCUAGGGCCGGAGCAACGUCGUGUGCUGGCGUUCGGCCUUGGUUAUGUGCCAUGGGGGCCUUAUGAUCGAGCCAGCGACUUUAUUGGGGCUGGAGUCUUCAUGGCUGGUACGUUCAGUGUUGUGUUCUUCAGAUCAUGCGUUUGGAUUAUUCUAUGUGCUGGGUUAUGGGUUGCGAUUUUAACUUAUUUAUCUUCCUGUGGGUUGGAUGCUGCGGUGGCAACGUGUCUGCUUCCCUGUUAGUUAACUUCUUACGGCAAUGCGUGGUGUGGUGUGUGUGUGGUUCAAGCUGUUCUGCCUUGUGUUGCUGGGUGGUGCGAUACCGUUGUGGGGUUAAUUUCGUUCUUCAAUCCCAGUAUGCUAUGUUGUGUGGUGGGUGUUUGGGUUAUGUGGUUUUCUUCACAUUCUUCUACAUGGUGAAAUGCUGUCUACCUUUCUUCUUGUUGGUUCUCACCGAGUCGUUGUUUCUUCGACCGUCAGUGCGUUGUGCCACUGUGGUAUCCUUCCGUGGCAAUGGCCUGGGUGCUUUUCUCAUUUGGGGCCUGCUUCUUCGUAGCUGAUUUCUUCAACGUUGCUGAGGGCUCUAUGGCUGCCCUCCCGUUCUCGCGCGUCGGACGUCGUCGUUGCGUAGUGCUGUAUUGUCCAUCUACAUUAGUGGCUGCAGGGCCGCCAUCUUUCUCUGAUUCAGGAUUAUAAUAGUCUGGUAGGUUUAUUGCUGUGCAGUAUAGUUUGUUUAGUUCUAUUCUCGACGUAUUAUACGGUGUGGAGUCGUGUUCCUUGUCCUAUCCUCGACUCAUUGUUGUUUAUGUCGUCUAUUGUGGUAGACUGUCGGCGGCACACUAUGUGCCAGUUUGUCGUAGUAAUUCCUUCCACACCCCUCCUCCUCUUUCAUCUCUUGUUUCAUCUCUUGUUUCAUCCCUUGUUUCAUCCCUUGUUUCAUCCCUUGUUCUUCUUUUUUGAGGUCCACUGGUCCACUGGUCUACUGGUCUACUGGUACUCACUCCCAGUCCCAGUGGACUUACUGUUUCUGUCUUUUGAAUUUUAUAUCGGUCUAAUCAAAGAAUAGGCUGCGCCAAGUUUUUGUUCUCUAAAUAGUGCUCCACAGAAGUGUGCCAAUAGUCAAUUCAUCUAUUUUUGUAAUAUCAACAAUAAGAUCAUAAUGACUGGGUGGACCCAACUCCCCCCCCCCCCCCGGCGGACA